rnacentral:rRNA from 1 species
CAAUAGCGUAUAUUUAAGUUGUUGCAGUUAAAAAGCUCGUAGUUGGAUUUCGGGUGGGACGCAGCGGUCUCGCAUUGCGUUUGUACUGCUGCAGCCCUCCUUCUUGCCGGGGGCGGCCUCUCGGACUUCACUGUCUGGGGGUCAGAAUCGGCGAUGUUACUUUGAGUAAAUUAGAGUGUUCAAAGCAAGCUUACGCUCUGAAUAUAAUAGCAUGGGAUAACACGACAGGACUCUGGCCUAUCGUGUUGGUCUAUAGGACCAGAGUAAUGAUUAAGAGGGACAGUCGGGGGCAUUCGUAUUCCGUUGUCAGAGGUGAAAUUCUUAGAUUCGUUGAGGACCAACCACUGCGAAAGCAUUUGUCAAGGAUGUCUCCAUUA